AGUUGGUGGGUUGUCUUGUCAGGUUGAUUCCGGUAACGAACGAGACCUCAGCCUUUAAAUAGUCACUGUCGCUUUUUGCGGCUGGCUUUGACUUCUUAGAGGGACAGUUGGCGUUUAGUCAACGGAAGUAUGAGGCAAUAACAGG
rnacentral:rRNA from 1 species